CUAAAGCAGUUAUAAGAAUACAGACGUGUUCCACUCAGUCGGAGUGUUUAUAAAGCGGUAUUAAGCACCAUACUAUGUCUCAGCAACAUGCUUAUGUUUGAAUGGAGUUCGUGAAAACCGUCAUCUACCACAGUCAUUCAUCUUGACUUCAAGUCUGGUCCGCUGGGGAGUAGGUCAUCACCACUACACCGGGUCCCCAUCAAGAUCCAAAAUGUGCUGAAACUUAAAGUCACUGCUCUAUUUGGUAGCAAUCCAAAGUGGACCAAAACAUUCCCUAAGUAACGCCAAGGUCAAAAAGGUGAUGUUGAUACAUCAAAUUUUGAUCUCUAUGAGUGGGUACUACUAAAUAGAGAGUUGUUAUAAGUAGGAUAAGAGAAGAGCUGUUGGUUGGUUCAUCAAAGCAAAGAAUAUUAA